rnacentral:tRNA from 1 species
GCGGGUGUGGCGGAAUCGGCAGACGCGCUAGAUUCAGGUUCUAGUGUCCAAUUACGGACGUGGGGGUUCAAGUCCCUUCACCCGCA